GGUCAAGCGAAUAAGCGCACACGGUGGAUGCCUAGGCGGUCAGAGGCGAUGAAGGACGUGGUAGCCUGCGAAAAGUGUCGGGGAGCUGGCAACAAGCUUUGAUCCGGCAACAUCCGAAUGGGGAAACCCACUGCUUCGGCAGUAUCUUGCAGUGAAUUCAUAGCUGCUUGAAGCGAACCCGGUGAACUGAAAUAUCUAAGUAACCGGAGGAAAAGAAAUCAACCGAGAUUCCCUGAGUAGUGACGAGCGAACGGGGAACAGCCCUUAAGCUGGAAUGGCUUUAGAAAAACAAUCUGGAAAGAUUGGCCAUAGAAGGUGAUAGCCCUGUAUUUAAAAGGGCCACUCCAGUGAAGACGAGUAGGGCGGGGCACGUGAAACCCUGUCUGAAUAUGGGGGGACCAUCCUCCAAGGCUAAAUACUCCUGACCGACCGAUAGUGAACCAGUACCGUGAGGGAAAGGCGAAAAGAACCCCGGAGAGGGGAGUGAAAUAGAUCCUGAAACCGUGUGCGUACAAGCAGUAGGAGCUCGCAAGAGUGACUGCGUACCUUUUGUAUAAUGGGUCAGCGACUUACUGUUCGUGGCAAGCUUAACCGUAUAGGGGAGGCGAAGGGAAACCGAGUCUGAUAAGGGCGCAUAGUCGCGGGCAGUAGACCCGAAACCGGGUGAUCUAGUCAUGGCCAGGGUGAAGGUGCCGUAACAGGUACUGGAGGCCCGAACCCACGUCUGUUGCAAAAGACGGGGAUGAGCUGUGAUUAGGAGUGAAAAGCUAAUCGAACCCGGAGAUAGCUGGUUCUCCUCGAAAGCUAUUUAGGUAGCGCCUCGGACGAAUACUACUGGGGGUAGAGCACUGUUAUGGCUAGGGGGUCAUCGCGACUUACCAAACCAUUGCAAACUCCGAAUACCAGUACGUACUAUCCGGGAGACACACGGCGGGUGCUAACGUCCGUCGUGAAAAGGGAAACAACCCAGACCCACAGCUAAGGUCCCAAAUUCACUGCUAAGUGGAAAACGAUGUGGAAAGGCAUAGACAGCCAGGAGGUUGGCUUAGAAGCAGCCACCCUUUAAAGAAAGCGUAAUAGCUCACUGGUCGAGUCGGUCUGCGCGGAAGAUUUAACGGGGCUAAGCAGUGAACCGAAGCUUGGGGUGCGUAAAACUUCGGUUUUAUGCGCGGUAGAGGAGCGUUCCGUAAGCCUGCGAAGGUGGAUUGAGAAGUCUGCUGGAGGUAUCGGAAGUGCGAAUGCUGACAUGAGUAACGAUAAUGCGGGUGAAAAGCCCGCACGCCGAAAGCCCAAGGUUUCCUUGCGCAACGUUAAUCGACGCAGGGUUAGUCGGUCCCUAAGGCGAGGGCGAAAGCCGUAGUCGAUGGGAAGCAGGUUAAUAUUCCUGCACCUCGCGUGAGUGCGAUGGAGGGACGGAGAAGGUUAGGUGUACCGGGCGUUGGUUGUCCCGGGGAAAGGCGGUAGGUUUGGAUCUUUGGCAAAUCCGGGAUCCUUUAAGACCGAGCACCGAGACGAGCCUUUAUGGCGAAGUCACUGAUACCACGCUUCCAGGAAAAGCUCCUAAGCUUCAGCUCACGAAGACCGUACCGUAAACCGACACAGGUGGGUAGGAUGAGAAUUCUCAGGCGCUUGAGAGAACUCGGGUGAAGGAACUAGGCAACAUGGCACCGUAACUUCGGGAGAAGGUGCACCCUUUUUGGUGGCUCAUGCGAGCUAUAGCUGAAGAGGGUCGCAGAAACCAGGCCGCUGCGACUGUUUAUCAAAAACACAGCACUCUGCAAACACGAAAGUGGACGUAUAGGGUGUGACGCCUGCCCGGUGCUGGAAGGUUAAUUGAUGGGGUCAGCCGCAAGGCGAAGCUCUUGAUCGAAGCCCCAGUAAACGGCGGCCGUAACUAUAACGGUCCUAAGGUAGCGAAAUUCCUUGUCGGGUAAGUUCCGACCUGCACGAAUGGCGUAACGACAGCGGCGCUGUCUCCACCCGAGACUCAGUGAAAUUGAAAUCGCUGUGAAGAUGCAGCGUUCCCGUGGCAAGACGGAAAGACCCCGUGAACCUUUACUAUAGCUUUACACUGAACGUUGAGUUCGUCUGUGUAGGAUAGGUGGGAGGCUAUGAAACUGUGGCGCUAGCUGCAGUGGAGCCAACCUUGAAAUACCACCCUGUCGUGCUUGACGUUCUAACCUAGAUCCGUUAUCCGGAUCAGGGACCGUGUAUGGUGGGUAGUUUGACUGGGGCGGUCUCCUCCUAAAGAGUAACGGAGGAGCACGAAGGUACGCUCAGCGCGGUCGGACAUCGCGCACUGUGUGCAAAGGCAUAAGCGUGCUUGACUGCAAGAUCGACGGAUCAAGCAGGUACGAAAGUAGGUCUUAGUGAUCCGGUGGUUCUGUAUGGAAGGGCCAUCGCUCAACGGAUAAAAGGUACUCCGGGGAUAACAGGCUGAUACCGCCCAAGAGUUCAUAUCGACGGCGGUGUUUGGCACCUCGAUGUCGGCUCAUCACAUCCUGGGGCUGUAGUCGGUCCCAAGGGUAUGGCUGUUCGCCAUUUAAAGUGGUACGCGAGCUGGGUUCAGAACGUCGUGAGACAGUUCGGUCCCUAUCUGCCAUGGGCGUUGGAAGUUUGAGAGGGGCUGCUCCUAGUACGAGAGGACCGGAGUGGACGAACCUCUGGUGUUCCGGUUGUCACGCCAGUGGCAUUGCCGGGUAGCUAUGUUCGGAAGCGAUAACCGCUGAAAGCAUCUAAGCGGGAAGCGCGCCUCAAGAUGAGACUUCCCGGGGCACAAGCCCCCUAAAGGAACCAUAUAGACUAUGUGGUUGAUAGGUCAGGUGUGUAAGUACAGCAAUGUAUUGAGCUAACUGAUACUAAUGAUCCGUGCGGCUUGACCAU
rnacentral:rRNA from 1 species